ACGCAUGUCUAGCAUGCGAGUCAUUGUAGCAUACAAGGCAUACGGCUCAGUAACGCGUAGUCAACCUAACCUAUGGACGGGAAUAACCUCGGGAAACUGAGAAUAAUGCCCGAUAGAACACUAUACCUGGAAUGGUUUGUGUUCCAAAUGAUUUAUCGCCAUAGGAUGGGACUGCGGCCUAUCAGUUUGUUGGUGAGGUAAUGGCCCACCAAGACUAUUACAGGUACGGGCUCUGAGAGGAGUAGCCCGGAGAUGGGUACUGAGACACGGACCCAGGCCCUAUGGGGCGCAGCAGGCGAGAAAACUUUGCAAUGUGCGAAAGCACGACAAGGUUAAUCCGAGUGAUUUGUGCUAAACGAAUCUUUUGUUAGUCCUAGAAACACUAACGAAUAAGGGGUGGGCAAGUUCUGGUGUCAGCCGCCGCGGUAAAACCAGCACCUCAAGUGGUCAGGAUGAUUAUUGGGCCUAAAGCAUCCGUAGCCGGCUCUGUAAGUUUUCGGUUAAAUCUGUACGCUUAACGUACAGGCUGCCGGGAAUACUGCAGAGCUAGGGAGUGGGAGAGGUAGACGGUACUCGGUAGGAAGUGGUAAAAUGCUUUGAUCUAUCGAUGACCACCUGUGGCGAAAGGCGGUCUACCAGAACACGUCCGACGGUGAGGGAUGAAAGCUGGGGGAGCAAACCGGGAUUAGAUACCCGGGUAGUCCAGCUGUAACUAUGCAAACUCAGUGAAUGCAUGCUGUGCCCAAUGCAGUGCUGCCAAGGUAAGCCUUCGU
rnacentral:rRNA from 1 species